rnacentral:rRNA from 1 species
UACGAGGGGGGCAAGCGUUGUUCGGAAUUAUUGGGCGUAAAGGGCGCGUAGGCGGUGCGGUAAGUCACCUGUGAAACCUCUAGGCUUAACCUAGAGCCUGCAGGCGAAACUGCCGUGCUGGAGUGUGGGAGAGGUGCGUGGAAUUCCCGGUGUAGCGGUGAAAUGCGUAGAGAUGUGGAAGAACACCAGCGGCGAAGGCGCUCUACUGGGCCAAGACUGACACUGAGAAACGAAAGCUAGGGGAGCGAAUAGG